rnacentral:lncRNA from 1 species
AAACAUUAUUCUUGAUGUCUCUGCAAGACUGUUUUGGGGGUGAAAUUAACAGGCAAGUUGGUGAGCUUUGGUGAAGCAAACAACCUUACAUGAUGUGAGUGGUCCUUGUGCCCAGUUGAAGCCAUGCACUGUGCACUGGAGAGGCAGAGCAUCCUGCCUUCCACAGCCGUGCACACCAGUCCCUGUGCACAAGUGGCCACCCACCCAGCGAAUCGACGUGGUGUGCUUAUCAAAAUCUGUGUGUCUGUGGGCCAGAGCCAAAUCCAGAGCCCCAUCCUGAAUGCCCAGCGGUGCCCACAGCCAGGAGGAGCAUUCGAUGUGUGAUGACUCAUCUCGUGCAUCAGACGCUCUCUAAAGUUCCCACAGAUUAUACCAUGGCUUAGUGAGUGCGAUUCUAAGACAGUUCCAAAAGACUUUUCAAUCCGUGGGAGUUUCAAAGUGGAUUCUCAGACAAACAUGGGGAGGACUGAGGCAGGCUUGGACACGCACAGAAUCAGACAACGAUGGGCUGAGGAAGUGGCUCAGCGGUUAAGAGCACUGUCUGCUCUUCCAAAGGUCCGGAGUUCAAAUCCCUGCAACCACAUGGUGGCUCACAACCAACUGUAAUGAGAUCUGGCGCCCUCUUCUGGAGUGUCUGAAGACAGAUACAGUGUACUUACAUAUAGUAAAUAAAUAAAUCUUAAAAAAAAAAAAAA